GGCAGCAGUGAGGAAUAUUGGGCAAUGGACGCAAGUCUGACCCAGCCAUGCCGCGUGAAGGAUGAAGGCGUUCUGCGUUGUAAACUUCUUUUAUUAGGGAAGAAACCUCUUUUUUCUAAAGUGGUUGACGGUACCAGAUGAAUAAGCACCGGCUAACUCCGUGCCAGCAGCCGCGGUAAUACGGAGGGUGCAAGCGUUAUCCGGAUUCACUGGGUUUAAAGGGUGCGUAGGUGGGCAGGUAAGUCAGUGGUGAAAUCUCCGGGCUUAACCCGGAAACUGCCAUUGAUACUAUCUGUCUUGAAUACCGUGGAGGUGAGCGGAAUAUGUCAUGUAGCGGUGAAAUGCUUAGAUAUGACAUAGAACACCAAUUGCGAAGGCAGCUCACUACGCGAAUAUUGACACUGAGGCACGAAAGCGUGGGGAUCAAACAGGAUUAGAUACCCUGGUAGUCCACGCCCUAAACGAUGGAUACUCGACAUACGCGAUACACAGUGUGUGUCUGAGCGAAAGCAUUAAGUAUCCCACCUGGGAAGUACGACCGCAAGGUUAAAACUCAAAGGAAU
rnacentral:rRNA from 1 species